AGAGUUUGAUCAUGGCUCAGAACGAACGCUGGCGGCAGGCUUAACACAUGCAAGUCGAGCGCCCCGCAAGGGGAGCGGCAGACGGGUGAGUAACGCGUGGGAAUCUACCUUUUGCUACGGAAUAACUCAGGGAAACUUGUGCUAAUACCGUAUGUGCCCUUCGGGGGAAAGAUUUAUCGGCAAAGGAUGAGCCCGCGUUGGAUUAGGUAGUUGGUGGGGUAAUGGCCUACCAAGCCGACGAUCCAUAGCUGGUCUGAGAGGAUGAUCAGCCACAUUGGGACUGAGACACGGCCCAAACUCCUACGGGAGGCAGCAGUGGGGAAUAUUGGACAAUGGGCGCAAGCCUGAUCCAGCCAUGCCGCGUGAGUGAUGAAGGCCCUAGGGUUGUAAAGCUCUUUCACCGGUGAAGAUAAUGACGGUAACCGGAGAAGAAGCCCCGGCUAACUUCGUGCCAGCAGCCGCGGUAAUACGAAGGGGGCUAGCGUUGUUCGGAAUUACUGGGCGUAAAGCGCACGUAGGCGGAUACUUAAGUUAGGGGUGAAAUCCCAGGGCUCAACCCUGGAACUGCCUUUAAUACUGGGUAUCUUGAGUUCGAGAGAGGUGAGUGGAAUUCCGAGUGUAGAGGUAAAAUUCGUAGAUAUUCGGAGGAACACCAGUGGCGAAGGCGGCUCACUGGCUCGAUACUGACGCUGAGGUGCGAAAGCGUGGGGAGCAAACAGGAUUAGAUACCCCGGUAGUCC
rnacentral:rRNA from 1 species